UCAGAUGCUCGGAUGGCUGCCUUUUUAUAAGGAGGAAAGUCCGGACUCCACAGAAAUACGGUGCCGGAUAACAUCCGGCAGGGACAACCCUAGGGAAAGUACCACAGAAAACAAACCACCGAAAUUUAAUAAUUUCGGUAAGGGUGAAAUGGUGCGGUAAGAGCGCACCGCACUCCUAGUAAUAGGAGUGGCACGGCAAACCCCACCGGGAGCAAGACUAAAUAGGGAUGGUUGUACUAUAAAUACAGAUGCAUUUCUGCAUUACCGUCCGGGUCGGUCGCAUGAGAUAUUAGGUAACUAAUGUCCUAGAUGAAUAGUCGUCUAUCCGCUUUGUGCGGUGAACAGAAUCCGGCUUAUAGAUCAUCUGACACU
rnacentral:RNase_P_RNA from 1 species